rnacentral:rRNA from 1 species
AUUGAACGCUGGCGGCAUGCUUUACACAUGCAAGUCGAACGGCAGCACGAAAGAGCUUGCUCUUUUGGUGGCGAGUGGCGAACGGGUGAGUAAUGCAUCGGAACGUACCGAGUAAUGGGGGAUAACUAUCCGAAAGGAUAGCUAAUACCCCAUACGCUUUGAGAAGGAAAGUGGGGGCUCUUCGGACCUCACGUUAUUCGAGCGGCCGAUGUCUGAUUAGCUAGUUGGUGGGGUAAAGGCCUACCAAGGCGACGAUCAGUAGCGGGUCUGAGAGGAUGAUCCGCCACACUGGGACUGAGACACGGCCCAGACUCCUACGGGAGGCAGCAGUGGGGAAUUUUGGACAAUGGGCGCAAGCCUGAUCCAGCCAUGCCGCGUGUCUGAAGAAAGGGCUCGGGUUGUAAAGGACUUUUGUUAGGGAAGAAAAGGAUAGUGUUAAUACCAUUAUCUGCUGA